rnacentral:rRNA from 1 species
CUCCCGAAGGAUCAUUG